UUUCUGACCCUAAUUCUUGUAUUAUUUGUUAUUGAUGUGAUGUGCUGCUUGCAUCAUACCGUGUUUUAAGAAGUCUGUUACAGAUGUGAUGAAGGCUUCAGGGAGGAUGGGACUGACUGAGGAUGACACAUGGUAUGCUGUGGGUGAGGUAGUAGAAUACAUUUUACACCACCACAGUUCAUUGUUAUACAUUUUUAUGAUAGGUUCUCUUUCCAGUAUGUUUGUUCUCCCUGUUGUGAAGGUUUAGAGUCCCUGGGUGGCAAGGAGCCCACCUGGUACAGGAUAGGAGUAGCUGAGAGGACCAGAUGGUUUCUAAUAAUUCUUUACUCUGUUUUCCAUGACCAAAGUUUUAUCCUACAUCUUACAUGUCAAUAACAAUAAAGUUUUAUCCUGUUUUUGAUAAGUGACACCCUUGUGGGUGACAAAAGGGGGAAACAAAAGCAUACAACAAAGGCAUAUAUCACUUGUUAUUAAUAAUAAACUUUUUAUUAUUUUCAUGUAAUGCUAUGACUGCUGAAAUAAAGGAUAAUGAGUGACACCCUAGCGGGUGUCAAAAGGGGGACUUAAAUUUCACACUAUUUUCUUUUGUUCUGUUUUUGAAUGAGCUGUUCUCUUUUGACAUGAAGGUAGUUUAAACUUUGUAACUGUUAUAUGAUUCAUUGCUGAAUUUUUGUUCACACCCUUGGGGUUAUUUUACAUUAUAGCCAUUACCAUAUAUAAGAUUGAAUAUUAUCUGCUGUUGCCUUGUGUGGAUGUAUGUAUGUGUUAUGCUACCUAGCUGAUUUGAAACAUUGUUAAAAGUAUCAGGGCCAUGGAACUUUCUCAUGCUGGAAAAAUACGGAAGGGAGGGCACAUUCAGAGCGUGGGGUUGUGAGAACAAGCGGAUCGGAAGAGAGUCGG